UCAAGUUAUUAAGGGUGCAGGGCGAAUGCCUUGGCACUAGGAGCCGAUGAAGGACGUGAUAAGCUGCGAUAAGCUUCGGGGAGUUGCACGUAAACUUUGAUCCGAAGAUUUCCGAAUGAGGAAACUCACUUAGAGUAAUGUCUAAGUAUCGUAUGAUGAAUACAUAGUCAUGCGAGGGGAACCCGGAGAACUGAAACAUCUAAGUACCCGGAGGAAGAGAAAGAAAUUCGAUUCCGUAAAUAGCGUAUAGUACCGUGAGGGAAAGGUGAAAAGAACCCCGGGAGGGGAGUGAAAGAGAACCUGAAACCCUGCACUUACAAGCUGUAGGAGCACAUUAUUUGUGUGACUGCGUACUUUUUGUAGAACGGGCCAACGAGUUACGUUGUGUAGCAAGGUUAAGCACUUAAGGUGUGGAGCCGUAGCGAAAGCGAGUCUUAAAUGGGCGUCCAGUUACCCGACGUAGACCCGAAACCAGGCGACCUAUCCAUGAGCAGGUUGAAGCGAAAGUAAAAUUUCGUGGAGGACCGAACCCACGUACGUUGAAAAGUGCGGGGAUGACUUGUGGAUAGCGGUGAAAUUCCAAUCGAGCCUGGAGAUAGCUGGUUCUCCCCGAAAUAGCUUUAGGGCUAGCCUCAAGCUUAGAGAAACGGAGGUAGAGCACUGAAUGUCCUAGGGGGUAUUGCACUUACCGAAGACUAUCAAACUCCGAAUGCCGUAUUCUUUUGCUUGGGAGUCAGACUAUGGGUGAUAAGAUUCAUAGUCAAGAGGGCAACAGCCCAGAUCGUCAGCUAAGGUCCCUAAAUGUAAGUUAAGUGGUAAAGGAUGUGGAAUUGCACAGACAACCAGGAUGUUGGCUUAGAAGCAGCCACUCAUUUAAAGAGUGCGUAAUAGCUCACUGGUCGAGUGAUUCUGCGCCGAAAAUUUCCGGGGCUAAAACUUACUACCGAAGCUACGGCAUCAUUAUGAUGGGUAGGGGAGCUUUCUAUGCGGCUUGAAGCAUGACCGUAAGGACAUGUGGACUGCAUAGAAGUGAGAAUGUUGGCAUGAGUAGCGAGAUGUGGGUGAGAAUCCCACAGGCCGUAAACCCAAGGUUUCCAGGGGAAGGUUCGUCCGCCCUGGGUUAGUCAGGACCUAAGCCGAGGCCGAAAGGCGUAGGUGAUGGACAACAGGUUGAUAUUCCUGUACCACCAAUAACCGUUUGAGAAAUGGGAUGACACAGUAGGAUAAGCUAACCGCACUGUUGGUUAUGUGCGGGCAAGUAUUGAGGCAGUUCCGAUAGGCAAAUCCGUCGGAAUAAUGCUGGGGUACGAUGCGGAGCGAAAUUUAGUAGCGAAGUAGCUGAUUUCACACUGUCGAGAAAAGUCUCUAUCGAGGUUAAAGGUGCCUGUACCGCAAACCGACACAGGUGGGUGAGGAGAGUAUCCUAAGGCCAGCGAGAGAACUGUUGUUAAGGAACUCGGCAAAAUGACCCCGUAACUUCGGGAGAAGGGGUGCCUUCGAAAGAAGGCCGCAGAGAAUAGGCCCAAGCGACUGUUUACCAAAAACAUAGGUUUCUGCUAAGUCGCAAGACGAUGUAUAGGAGCUGACGCCUGCCCGGUGCUGGAAGGUUAAGGGGAUCUGUUAGAGCAAUCGAAGCAGUGAACUUAAGCCCCAGUAAACGGCGGCCGUAACUAUAACGGUCCUAAGGUAGCGAAAUUCCUUGUCGGGUAAGUUCCGACCCGCACGAAAGGCGUAACGAUUUGGGCA
rnacentral:rRNA from 1 species